rnacentral:rRNA from 1 species
GACGUAGGGUGCAAGCGUUGUCCGGAAUCAUUGGGCGUAAAGCGCGUGUAGGCGGUCCGGUAAGUCCGCUGUGAAAGUCGGGGGCUCAACCCUCGGAUGCCGGUGGAUACUGUCGGGCUUGAGUACGGAAGAGGCGAGUGGAAUUCCUGGUGUAGCGGUGAAAUGCGCAGAUAUCAGGAGGAACACCAAUGGCGAAGGCAGCUCGCUGGGACGGUACUGACGCUGAGACGCGAAAGCGUGGGGAGCAAACAGG